rnacentral:rRNA from 1 species
GCUCAGGACGAACGCUGGCGGCGGGCCUAACACAUGCAAGUCGAACGCACUCGACCUUCGGGUCACAUGAGUGAGUGGCGAACGGGUGAGUAACACGUGAGGAACCUGCCCCGAAGACUGGAAUAACCCGGGGAAACUCGGGCUAAUACCGGAUGCCCCCAUCGGAUCGCAUGAUCCGGUGAGGAAAUGCUCCGGCGCUUCGGGAGGGUCUCACGGCCUAUCAGCUAGUUGGUGAGGUAACGGCUCACCAAGGCAACGACGGGUAGCUGGUCUGAGAGGACGAUCAGCCACACUGGGACUGAGACACGGCCCAGACUCCUACGGGAGGCAGCAGUGGGGAAUCUUGCGCAAUGGGCGAAAGCCUGACGCAGCCACGCCGCGUGAGGGAUGAAGGCUCUCGGGUUGUAAACCUCUUUCAGCAGGGACGAAAAUGACGGUACCUGCAGAAGAAGCUCCGGCCAACUACGUGCCAGCAGCCGCGGUAACACGUAGGGAGCGAGCGUUGUCCGGAUUUAUUGGGCGUAAAGAGCUCGUAGGCGGUUCGGUAAGUCAGGUGUGAAAGCUCGAGGCUCAACCUCGAGAAGCCAUCUGAUACUGCUGUGACUUGAGUCCGGUAGGGGAGUGUGGAAUUCCUGGUGUAGCGGUGAAAUGCGCAGAUAUCAGGAGGAACACCUACAGCGAAGGCAGCACUCUGGGCCGGUACUGACGCUGAGGAGCGAAAGCGUGGGGAGCGAACAGGAUUAGAUACCCUGGUAGUCCACGCCGUAAACGUUGGGCACUAGGUGUGGGGUCGAACUAACCGAUUCCGUGCCGUAGCUAACGCAUUAAGUGCCCCGCCUGGGGAGUACGGCCGCAAGGCUAAAACU